UACGUAGGGUGCGAGCGUUAAUCGGAAUUACUGGGCGUAAAGCGUGCGCAGGCGGUUUGCUAAGACAGGUGUGAAAUCCCCGGGCUUAACCUGGGAACUGCGCUUGUAACUGGCAAGCUUGAGUGUGGCAGAGGGGGGUGGAAUUCCACGUGUAGCAGUGAAAUGCGUAGAGAUGUGGAGGAACACCGAUGGCGAAGGCAGCCCCCUGGCUAACACUGACGCCUCAUGCACGAAAGCGUGGGGAGCAAACAGG
rnacentral:rRNA from 1 species